GACGAACGCUGGCGGCGUGCUUAACACAUGCAAGUCGAACGGAAAGGCCCUGCUUUUGUGGGGUGCUCGAGUGGCGAACGGGUGAGUAACACGUGAGUAACCUGCCCUUGACUUUGGGAUAACUUCAGGAAACUGGGGCUAAUACCGGAUAGGAGCUCCUGCUGCAUGGUGGUGGUUGGAAAGUUUCGGCGGUUGGGGAUGGACGCGCGGCUUAUCAGCUUGUUGGUGGGGUAGUGGCUUACCAAGGUUUUGACGGGUAGCCGGCCUGAGAGGGUGACCGGCCACAUUGGGACUGAGAUACGGCCCAGACUCCUACGGGAGGCAGCAGUGGGGAAUAUUGCCCAAUGGGCGGAAGCCUGAUGCAGCAACGCCGCGUGCGGGAUGACGGCCUUCGGGUUGUAAACCGCUUUCGCCUGUGACGAAGCGUGAGUGACGGUAAUGGGUAAAGAAGCACCGGCUAACUACGUG
rnacentral:rRNA from 1 species